rnacentral:rRNA from 1 species
CGGUCCCUACGGGGCGCAGCAGUGGGGAAUAUUGCACAAUGGGGGAAACCCUGAUGCAGCGACGCCGCGUGAAGGAAGAAGUAUUUCGGUAUGUAAACUUCUAUCAGCAGGGAAGAAAAUGACGGUACCUGACUAAGAAGCCCCGGCUAACUACGUGCCAGCAGCCGCGGUAAUACGUAGGGGGCAAGCGUUAUCCGGAUUUACUGGGUGUAAAGGGAGCGUAGGUGGUAAUGCAAGUAAGAAGUGAAAGUCAGGGGCUCAACUCCGGGACUGCUUUUGAAACUGUGUUGUUAGAUUGCAGGAGG